GUCAACGACCAUACCAUGUUGAAAACACCGGUUCUCGUCCGAUCACCGAAGUUAAGCAACAUCGGGCAUGGCUAGUACUUAGGUGGGUGACCACUUGGGAAAACCAUGUGUCUGUCGUUGGGA
rfam:Anopheles gambiae str. PEST whole genome shotgun sequencing project, whole genome shotgun sequence.